CUCAGGACGAACGCUGGCGGCGCGCCUAACACAUGCAAGUCGAACGAGAGAGAGAGGGAGCUUGCUUCCUUGAUCGAGUGGCGAACGGGUGAGUAACGCGUGAGGAACCUGCCUCAAAGAGGGGGACAACAGUUGGAAACGACUGCUAAUACCGCAUAAGCCCACGGCUCGGCAUCGAGCAGAGGGAAAAGGAGCAAUCCGCUUUGAGAUGGCCUCGCGUCCGAUUAGCUAGUUGGUGAGGUAAUGGCCCACCAAGGCGACGAUCGGUAGCCGGACUGAGAGGUUGAACGGCCACAUUGGGACUGAGACACGGCCCAGACUCCCACGGGAGGCAGCAGUGGGGAAUAUUGCACAAUGGGGGAAACCCUGAUGCAGCGACGCCGCGUGGAGGAAGAAGGUCUUCGGAUUGUAAACUCCUGUUGUUGAGGAAGAUAAUGACGGUACUCAACAAGGAAGUGACGGCUAACUACGUGCCAGCAGCCGCGGUAAAACGUAGGUCACAAGCGUUGUCCGGAAUUACUGGGUGUAAAGGGAGCGCAGGCGGGAGAACAAGUUGGAAGUGAAAUCCAUGGGCUCAACCCAUGAACUGCUUUCAAAACUGUUUUUCUUGAGUAGUGCAGAGGUAGGCGGAAUUCCCGGUGUAGCGGUGGAAUGCGUAGAUAUCGGGAGGAACACCAGUGGCGAAGGCGGCCUACUGGGCACCAACUGACGCUGAGGCUCGAAAGUGUGGGUAGCAAACAGGAUUAGAUACCCUGGUAGUCCACACCGUAAACGAUGAUUACUAGGUGUUGGAGGAUUGACCCCUUCAGUGCCGCAGUUAACACAAUAAGUAAUCCACCUGGGGAGUACGACCGCAAGGUUGAAACUCAAAGGAAUUGACGGGGGCCCGCACAAGCAGUGGAGUAUGUGGUUUAAUUCGACGCAACGCGAAGAACCUUACCAAGUCUUGACAUCCCUUGACGAUGCCGGAAACAGUAUUUCUCUUCGGAGCAAGGAGACAGGUGGUGCAUGGUUGUCGUCAGCUCGUGUCGUGAGAUGUUGGGUUAAGUCCCGCAACGAGCGCAACCCUUAUGGUCAGUUACUACGCAAGAGGACUCUGGCCAGACUGCCGUUGACAAAACGGAGGAAGGUGGGGAUGACGUCAAAUCAUCAUGCCCUUUAUGACUUGGGCUACACACGUACUACAAUGGCGUUAAACAAAGAGAAGCAAGACCGCGAGGUGGAGCAAAACUCAGAAACAACGUCCCAGUUCGGACUGCAGGCUGCAACUCGCCUGCACGAAGUCGGAAUUGAUAGUAAUCGUGGAUCAGCAUGCCACGGUGA
rnacentral:rRNA from 1 species